rnacentral:rRNA from 1 species
UGUUCCUACGGGGCGCAGCAGUAGGGAAUUUUCGUCAAUGGGCGCAAGCCUGAACGAGCAAUGCCGCGUGAACGAGGAAGGUCUUCGGAUCGUAAAGUUCUGUUGAAGGGGAAAAAGAGCGGAGAGAGGAAAUGAACUCCGAUUGAUAUUACCCUUCGAGGAAGUCACGGCUAACUACGUGCCAGCAGCCGCGGUAAUACGUGGGUGGCGAGCGUUAUCCGGAAUGAUUGGGCGUAAAGGGAGCGUAGGCGGCCUGCUAAGUCUGGAGUGACAGGUACCGGCUCAACCGGUACAGGCUCUGGAAA